rnacentral:rRNA from 1 species
GAUGAACGCUGGCGGCGUGCCUAAUACAUGCAAGUCGAGCGAACAGACGAGGAGCUUGCUCCUCUGACGUUAGCGGCGGACGGGUGAGUAACACGUGGAUAACCUACCUAUAAGACUGGGAUAACUUCGGGAAACCGGAGCUAAUACCGGAUAAUAUAUUGAACCGCAUGGUUCAAUAGUGAAAGACGGUUUUGCUGUCACUUAUAGAUGGAUCCGCGCCGCAUUAGCUAGUUGGUAAGGUAACGGCUUACCAAGGCAACGAUGCGUAGCCGACCUGAGAGGGUGUUCGGCGACACCUGAACUGAUACCCGGUCCAGACUCCUACGGGAGGCAGCAGUAGGGAAUCUUCCGAGUUGGGCGAAAGCCUGACGGAGCAACGCCGCGUGAGUGAUGAAGGUCUUCGGAUCGUAAAACUCUGUUAUUAGGGAAGAACAAAUGUGUAAGUAACUAUGCACUUCUUGACGGUACCUAAUCAGAAAGCCACGGCUAACUACGUG